rnacentral:rRNA from 1 species
CGUAGGUGGCAAGCGUUGUCCGGAUUUAUUGGGUUUAAAGGGUGCGUAGGCGGCCUUGUAAGUCAGUGGUGAAAUACUCCAGCUUAACUGGAGGGGUGCCAAUGAUACUGCAGGGCUUGAGUACAGAUGAGGUAGGCGGAAUUGACGGUGUAGCGGUGAAAUGCAUAGAUAUCGUCAAGAACACCGAUAGCGAAGGCAGCUUACUGGGCUGUAACUGACGCUGAGGCACGAAAGUGUGGGGAUCAAACAGGAUUAGAUACCCUGGUAGUCCACACUGUAAACGUUGAUGACUCGCUGUUUGCGAUACACUGCAAGCGGCUUAGCGAAAGCGAUAAGUCAUCCACCUGGGGAGUACGCCGGCAACGGUG